rnacentral:lncRNA from 1 species
CAGGGCUGUGCCCCUAGUGCCCAUUCCAGAUUCCCAAAUAUGGAGAAGGACUGGGUUUUGGAAGAUGAACAGAAUGCUCACCCUUGAAAGAGAGGGAGAGAAAGAGGGAGUAUGAGCCACCAUCAAGCCUCCCGCUCCUGGUCACCAUAGCAACCGGGACGAGCCAGCAUCCAGCUCUGCCGCACUGACUUCCCCAACCCCAGCUGAGAUGCAGCAGUGAGGACAAGAAGCGAGAGGCAGACACACAGGAUCUAGGUCCUUCCUUGUUGCCCCGACUGUGAAUCCCUGGACCCUGGGAGAGAGUUGCGGAGAAGGGACAAGGGGGAGAAACAGCUGUACCUUGGAGCCUCCCGAUGCCGACCUCCGGUGCGGGGUCCAGCGCGAAGGUGGAGUGGGCAGCACUGAACGUGUGUGCUGCCAUAGCCGCGGCACCUGUACACCGAGGACCAACCGACUCUGGAGAGCCAGCAUCUGUUACUUAUCGAGGAGAUGCCCUUUGAAGCCCUAAUCGGUGACUGUCCUGCGGUGGGUGGGGAUGCACUUGGGACUCACAGAAGAUGGUGGUACUACCGUCUGUGGGGUAAGCUAGCCAAGGACCCUGCUUUCACAUUGGGCCAGGGUGAACCUCAGUGUGAGCCCAGAGCCCACAGCGUCCUUGAAUGCAGACUUUCAUGUAUAUUAGUGGCUGAGGAAAAGGAAGCACAAGCCAUUGGGUAGUUUUAAGACCUAGGCUAUCAGCUGGCAGUUCUGAGCCCAACCGGGGAAGGAAGUACGAAGACAAAUGGAACUCUCACCCAGCAAGAGAAACAACUUUUGGAAGAAGGUAAAGACAGAAAUGGCAAUGUGAGAGAAAAGCUGAAUGUUCUCUUCUGGAAGUCAGGGAGAAUCACAGUUGACAGCAGUCAUCCCUAAAAGGCUAGAGUAAGUCUAGCCUGAACCUAAUAUUAGAUUAUAUCGACUGACUUAAUCUUAUCUAGUCAUACUGUUUAAAAAAAUGGAGUCCCAUUGAGACAUUUAUAUUUAAUGGCAUUCGAUACUAUAUUUAUCAUAGAGUAAGUUUUAAGAGCUCAGAGGGGUGUAGUGAUAUUAUCAGAAAUAAAUAGGGCAGUGAUUUCCCAGUAACUCCUCCCCCUUUUACCAGCAUGGUAUGCCUGGCUCUCAGAGGGCUAUUUGAGGGCCCAGCAGCCUCUGCUUCUCUUAAUAUGUUCAGUUGUACCCUAUUUUCAUUUAAAAAUGCAGUUCCUCCUACAUGCUUUCUCAUACAGAGUCAUGUGAACGUAGUGCCCAUCUCUUGCAACCUAGUCGCUCUGGCCUUUAAUCAGAGUUGAGUGCUUGUUCUCCUUGCUGCCUGGCUGUGUCCAGCAGUCUCAGCUUGUAGAGUCCCAGGAGAGCUGGCGCACACGUUGCUGGGCAGACUUUGCAUGGAAUGUUGCCCUCGUGCCAUUAGCC